UACGGAAGGCAGCAGUGGGGAAUAUUGCACAAUGGGCGCAAGCCUGAUGCAGCCAUGCCGCGUGUAUGAAAAGGCCUUCGGUUGUAAAGUACUUUCUAGUCGUGAGGAAGGUGUUAAGGUUAAUAACCUUAGCAAUUAGACGUUAGCGACAGAAGAAGCACCGGCUAACUCCGUGCCAGCAGCCGCGGUAAUACGGAGGGUGCGAGCGUUAAUCGGAAUUACUGGGCGUAAAGGGCACGCAGGCGGUUAAUUAAGUUGGAUGUGAAAUCCCCGGGCUUAACCUGGGAAUGGCAUUCAAGACUGGUUAGCUAGAGUCUUGUAGAGGGGGUAGAAUUCCAUGUGUAGCGGUGAAAUGCGUAGAGAUGUGGAGGAAUACCGGUGGCGAAGGCGGCCCCUGGACAAAGACUGACGCUCAUGUGCGAAAGCGUGGGGAGCAAACAGGGAUUAGAUACC
rnacentral:rRNA from 1 species